rnacentral:rRNA from 1 species
CCCGCCGGCGACCGGCGCACGGGUGAGUAACACGUAUGCAACCUGGCCGCCACAGGGGGAUAACCCGCGGAAACGCGGCCUAAUACCCCGUGACGCCACCGGAGGGCAUCCUCCGGUGGCCAAAGGAGCGAUCCGGUGGCGGAUGGGCAUGCGGCGCAUUAGCUAGACGGCGGGGUGACGGCCCACCGUGGCGACGAUGCGUAGGGGUUCUGAGAGGAAGGCCCCCCACCACUGGGACUGAGACACGGCCCAGACUCCUACGGAAGGCAGCAG